GGUGAAUUCAGAGCUAUACAUGCAAAUAGAGUUCCGACCAGAGAUGGAAGGAAUGCUUUUAUUAGAUCAAAACCAAUCGGUGGCGGGCUUGCCUUGCUCACCGUUUGACUUGGUGACUCUGAAUAACUUUGUGCUGAUCGCACGGUCUAGUACCGGCGACGCAUCUUUCAAAUGUCUGCCUUAUCAACUGUCGAUGGUAGUUUCUGCGACUACCAUGGUUGUUACGGGUAACGGGGAAUCAGGGUUCGAUUCCGGAGAGGGAGCCUGAGAAACGGCUACCACAUCCAAGGAAGGCAGCAGGCGCGCAAAUUACCCACUCCCGGCACGGGGAGGUAGUGACGAAAAAUAACGAUACGGGACUCAUCCGAGGCCCCGUAAUCGGAAUGAGUACACUUUAAAUCCUUUAACGAGGAUCUAUUAGAGGGCCAGUCUGGUGCCAGCAGCCGCGGUAAUUCCAGCUCUAAUAGCGUAUAUUAAAGUUGUUGCGGUUAAAAAGCUCGUAGUUGAAUCUGUGUCCCACACUGUCGGUUCACCGCUCGCGGUGUUCAACUGGCAUGUCUGUGGGACGUCCUACCGGUGGGCUUAGCCCGUCAAAAGGCGGCCCAACUCAAAAUCCUACCACGGUGCUCUUCACCGAGUGUCGAGGUGGGCCGGUACGUUUACUUUGAACAAAUUAGAGUGCUUAAAGCAGGCUCAUUCGCCUGAAUAUUGUGUGCAUGGAAUAAUGGAAUAGGACCUCGGUUCUAUUUUGUUGGUUUUCGGAAUUCCGAGGUAAUGAUUAAUAGGGACAACUGGGGGCAUUCGUAUUGCGACGUUAGAGGUGAAAUUCUUGGAUCGUCGCAAGACGGACAGAAGCGAAAGCAUUUGCCAAAUGUGUUUUCAUCAAUCAAGAACGAAAGUUAAAGGUUCGAAGGCGAUCAGAUACCGCCCUAGUUCUAACCAUAAACGAUGCCAGCUAGCGAUCCGCCGAAGUUCCUCCGAUGACUCGGCGGGCAGCUUCCGGGAAACCAAAGCUUUUGGGUUCCGGGGGAAGUAUGGUUGCAAAGCUGAAACUUAAAGGAAUUGACGGAAGGGCACUACAAGGAGUGGAGCCUGCGGCUUAAUUUGACUCAACACGGGAAACCUCACCAGUACGAAACCCA
rnacentral:rRNA from 1 species